CCAAUAAAAAAUCGCAAAAAUCCAACGGGAAAAAGGAGACGCAGGAGGAAAGGGAGAGAGAGAGAGAACAAACGGCAUCAAUGGCGGCCACAUCCCUCCUCUCCCGCCUCCUCAUCCUCCCACCACCGGCGCCGGCCGCCGCCGCCUCUCUCCGGCAGCGGAAACCCGCCGCAGCGCACUCCCUAUCCUCCAGGGGGCGGAGGCCCCGCCUCGCGGUACAGGCGGUAGCCCCCGCGGCGGCGGAGGAGGAGAAGGGCGGGCUGCCGGCGGCGGAGGCGGAGAGGCUGGCGGAGUUCCUGCGGGAGGACCUCCCCCACCUGUUCGACGACGUCGGCGUCGACCGCUCGGCGUACGACGACCGCGUCCGCUUCCGCGACCCCAUCACCCGCCACGACACCAUCGACGGCUACCUCCUCAACAUCCGCCUCCUCAAGCUCCUCUUCCGUCCCGACUUCUACCUCCACCACGUCGAGCAGACAGGGCCGUACGAGAUCACCACGAGGUGGACCAUGGUGAUGAAGUUCGUUCUACUGCCGUGGAAGCCGGAGCUGGUCUUCACUGGCCUCUCGAUCAUGGGCGUCAACCCUCAGAAUCUCAAGUUCUGUAGCCACGUGGAUAUUUGGGACUCAAUACAGAAUAAUGAAUAUUUUUCUUUUGAAGGACUGGGGGAUGUCUUCAAGCAGCUACGGAUUUACAAGACCCCUGAUAUAGAAACACCAAAGUACCUUAUCCUGAAAAGGACGGCAAACUAUGAGAUUAGGAGUUAUCCACCAUUCUUAAUAGUUGAAGCAAAAGGAGAUAAACUAACCGGAUCAUCAGGUUUUAAUAAUGUAACUGGGUAUAUUUUUGGCAAGAAUGCUUCUUCAGAAACGAUUGCAAUGACUACACCUGUCUUCACUCAGGCUUCUGAUGACAAACUCUCAGAUGUAUCCAUCCAGAUAGUUUUGCCGAUGAACAAAGACUUGGACAGCUUACCAGCUCCAAACACGGAAGCUGUCAACUUGCGAAAGGUAGAAGGUGGCAUUGCUGCAGUGAAAAAAUUCAGUGGGAGACCAAAAGAGGAAAUUGUGAUCCAGAAAGAAAAGGAGCUGCGCUCCCAAUUACUCAAAGAUGUGUUGAAGCCUCAACAUGGUUGUUUGCUUGCACGCUACAAUGAUCCUAGAACACAGAGCUUUAUAAUGAGGAAUGAGGUGCUGAUAUGGUUAAACGACUUCACGCUGGAGUAGUAGUCUUCACUGUCUACAACACAUUUCUGCAACAUAUAGACACUUAGCAUUGGAGCUUUCGGAGCAUCAUAGCAAGGUGAAAAAAAUUAGGAAGAUGCAUGGAUGAAAUGAUAGGAGAAUGUAAAUACCGAAAAGGUCACUAUAUUACAUGGUAAUUCUAGUCCAUAUGAAAAAUGUUUGUGUAUAACAAAAGUGAAAUGAACAAAAUGAAACUGUUUAGAACAAAAGGAAUAACCCCCACCUAGCCACCCUCAUUCCCAGUGACAUGCCUGGCUGUAACACGUCUCUUCUGUC